rnacentral:rRNA from 1 species
UAGCUACAGGCUUAACACAUGCAAGUCGAGGGGCAGCAUGGUCUUAGCUUGCUAAGGCCGAUGGCGACCGGCGCACGGGUGAGUAACACGUAUCCAACCUGCCGUCUACUCUUGGACAGCCUUCUGAAAGGAAGAUUAAUACAAGAUGGCAUCAUGAGUCCGCAUGUUCACAUGAUUAAAGGUAUUCCGGUAGACGAUGGGGAUGCGUUCCAUUAGAUAGUAGGCGGGGUAACGGCCCACCUAGUCUUCGAUGGAUAGGGGUUCUGAGAGGAAGGCCCCCACAUUGGAACUGAGACAUGGUCCAAACUCCUACGGGAGGCAGCAGUGAGGAAUAUUGGUCAAUGGGCGAGAGCCUGAACCAGCCAAGUAGCGUGAAGGAUGACUGCCCUAUGGGUUGUAAACUUCUUUUAUAAAGGAAUAAAGUCGGGUAUGGAUACCCGUUUGCAUGUACUUUAUGAAUAAGGAUCGGCUAACUCCGUGCCAGCAGCCGCGGUAAUACGGAGGAUCCGAGCGUUAUCCGGAUUUAUUGGGUUUAAAGGGAGCGCACAUGGAUGUUUAAGUCACUUGUGAAAGUUUGCGGCUCAACCGUAAAAUUGCACUUGAUACUGGAUAUCUUGAGUGCAGUUGAGGCAGGCGGAAUUCGUGGUGUAGCGGUGAAAUGCUUAGAUAUCACGAAGAACUCCGAUUGCGAAGGCAGCCUGCUAAGCUGCAACUGACAUUGAGGCUCGAAAGUGUGGGUAUCAAACAGGAUUAGAUACCCUGGUAGUCCACACGGUAAACGAUGAAUACUCGCUGUUUGCGAUAUACUGCAAGCGGCCAAGCGAAAGCGUUAAGUAUUCCACCUGGGGAGUACGCCGGCAACGGUGAAACUCAAAGGAAUUGACGGGGGCCCGCACAAGCGGAGGAACAUGUGGUUUAAUUCGAUGAUACGCGAGGAACCUUACCCGGGCUUAAAUUGCAGAUGAAUUACGGUGAAAGCCGUAAGCCGCAAGGCAUCUGUGAAGGUGCUGCAUGGUUGUCGUCAGCUCGUGCCGUGAGGUGUCGGCUUAAGUGCCAUAACGAGCGCAACCCUUGUUGUCAGUUACUAACAGGUUCCGCUGAGGACUCUGACAAGACUGCCAUCGUAAGAUGUGAGGAAGGUGGGGAUGACGUCAAAUCAGCACGGCCCUUACGUCCGGGGCUACACACGUGUUACAAUGGGGGGUACAGAGGGCCGCUACCACGCGAGUGGAUGCCAAUCCCCAAAACCUCUCUCAGUUCGGACUGGAGUCUGCAACCCGACUCCACGAAGCUGGAUUCGCUAGUAAUCGCGCAUCAGCCACGGCGCGGUGAAUACGUUCCCGGGCCUUGUACACACCGCCCGUCAAGCCAUGGGAGCCGGGGGUACCUGAAGUGCGUAACCGCGAGGAGCGCCCUAGGGUAAAACUGGUGAA